rnacentral:rRNA from 1 species
UACGAAGGGGGCUAGCGUUGCUCGGAAUCACUGGGCGUAAAGGGUGCGUAGGCGGGUCUUUAAGUCAGGGGUGAAAUCCUGGAGCUCAACUCCAGAACUGCCUUUGAUACUGAAGAUCUUGAGUUCGGGAGAGGUGAGUGGAACUGCGAGUGUAGAGGUGAAAUUCGUAGAUAUUCGCAAGAACACCAGUGGCGAAGGCGGCUCACUGGCCCGAUACUGACGCUGAGGCACGAAAGCGUGGGGAGCAGACAGG